AGUGAACGCUGGCGGUAGGCCUAACACAUGCAAGUCUAACGGCAGCACAGUAAGAGCUUGCUCUUACGGGUGGCGAGUGACGGACGGGUGCGGAAUACAUCGGAAUCUACUUUUUCGUGGGGGAUAACGUAGGGAAACUUACGCUAAUACCGCAUACGACCUACGGGUGAAAGCAGGGGAUCUUCAGACCUUGCGCGAUUAACUGAGCCGAUGUCGGAUUAGCUAGUUGGCGGGGGAAAGGCCCACCAAGGCGACGGUCCGUAGCUGGUCUGAGAUGAUGAGUAGCCACACUGGAAGUGUGAAACGCUCCAGAGUCCUACGGGCGCCAGCAGUGGGGAAUAGUGAAGAAGGGGUGCAAGCUUGAUCCAGCCAUACCGCGAGGGUGAAGAAGCCCUUCGGGUUGUAAAGCGCUUUUGUUGGGAAAGAAAAGCAGUUUGUGAAUACCCCGCUGUUCUGACGGUACCAAAAGAAUAAGCACCGGCUAACUUCGUG
rnacentral:rRNA from 1 species